rnacentral:rRNA from 1 species
UGAGGGAUAUUGCGCAAUGGGGGAAACCCUGACGCAGCGACGCCGCGUGGGCGAUGAAGGCUUUCGGGUCGUAAAGCCCUUUUCCCACUGAGGAGAACGGACAGUAGGUGGGGAAUAAGUCUCGGCUAACUACGUGCCAGCAGCCGCGGUAAAACGUAGGAGGCGAGCGUUAUCCGGAGUUACUGGGCGUAAAGCGCGUGCAGGCGGUUCGGUAAGUGGCGGGUGAAAGCGCCUGGCUCAACCAGGCGAGUGCCGGUCAGACUGCUGGACUGGAAUGUCGGAGAGGGACGCGGAAUUCCGGGUGUAGCGGUGAAAUGGUGCAGAGAUCCGGAGGAAACACCAAGCGCCGAAAAGGGGGCGUCCUGGACGACGAAAUUGACGCUGAGACGCGACCAGGCUGGGGGAGCGAACGGGGAUUAGAGACCCUUGUAG